rnacentral:rRNA from 1 species
AUUGAACGCUGGCGGCAGGCCUAACACAUGCAAGUCGAGCGGAUGAAGGGAGCUUGCUCCUGGAUUCAGCGGCGGACGGGUGAGUAAUGCCUAGGAAUCUGCCUGGUAGUGGGGGAUAACGUCCGGAAACGGGCGCUAAUACCGCAUACGUCCUGAGGGAGAAAGUGGGGGAUCUUCGGAACUCACGCUAGCAGAUGAGCCUAGGUCGGAUUAGCUAGUUGGUGGGGUAAAGGCCUACCAAGGCGACGAUCCGUAACUGGUCUGAGAGGAUGAUCAGUCACACUGGAACUGAGACACGGUCCAGACUCCUACGGGAGGCAGCAGUGGGGAAUAUUGGACAAUGGGCGAAAGCCUGAUCCAGCCAUGCCGCGUGUGUGAAGAAGGUCUUCGGAUUGUAAAGCACUUUAAGUUGGGAGGAAGGGCAGUAAGUUAAUACCUUGCUGUUUUGACGUUACCAACAGAAUAAGCACCGGCUAACUUCGUG